rnacentral:rRNA from 1 species
AGAGUUUGAUCCUGGCUCAGAACGAACGCUGGCGGCAGGCUUAACACAUGCAAGUUGAACGGGAUUUGUGUGGUGCUUGCACCAUAUAAUGAGAGUAGCGCACUGGUGAGUAACACGUGGGAACGUGCCUUUUAGUGGGGGAUAACAUCUGGAAACGGAUGCUAAUACCGCAUACGCCCUGAGGGGGAAAGAUUUAUUGCUAAGAGGUCGGCCCGCGGUAGAUUAGGCAGUUGGUGGGGUAAAGGCCUACCAAACCUACGAUCUAUAGCUGGUCUGAGAGGACGAUCAGCCACAUUGGAACUGAGACACGGUCCAGACUCCUACGGGAGGCAGCAGUGAGGAAUAUUGGGCAAUGGAGGCAACUCUGACCCAGCCAUGCCGCGUGAGUGAGAAGGUUUUCGAAUUGUAAAGCUCUUUCGGGUGUGAAGAUGAUGACGGUAACACCAGAAGAAGCCCCGGCAAACUUCGUGCCAGCAGCCGCGGUAAUACGAAGGGGGCGAGCGUUGUUCGGAAUUACUGGGCGUAAAGGGUGUGUAGGCGGUUAAGUAAGAUAGUGGUGAAAUGCCGGGGCUCAACCUCGGAAUUGCCAUUAUGACUAUUUAGCUAGAAUGAUGCAGAGGAUAGCGGAAUACCCAGUGUAGAGGUGAAAUUCGUAGAUAUUGGGUAGAACACCAGAGGCGAAGGCGGCUAUCUGGGCAUUGAUUGACGCUGAGGCACGAAAGCAUGGGGAUCAAACAGGAUUAGAUACCCUGGUAGUCCAUGCUGUAAACGAUGAAUGCUAGUUGUUGGAGGAAUUCAGUGACGCAGUUAACACAAUAAGCAUUCCGCCUGGGGAGUACGGUCGCAAGAUUAAAACUCAAAGGAAUUGACGGGGACCCGCACAAGCGGUGGAGCAUGUGGUUUAAUUCGAUGCAACGCGAAGAACCUUACCAACUCUUGACAUCCUCAUUAGGGAGGGAAGAGAUUCCCUCUUUCAGUUAGGCUGGGUGAGUGACAGAUGCUGCAUGGCUGUCGUCAGCUCGUGUCGUGAGAUGUUGGGUUAAGUCCCGCAACG